rnacentral:rRNA from 1 species
GAUGAACGCUGGCGGCGUGCCUAAUACAUGCAAGUCGAGCGAACAGGCGAGGAGCUUGCUCCUCUGACGUUAGCGGCGGACGGGUGAGUAACACGUGGAUAACCUACCUAUAAGACUGGGAUAACUUCGGGAAACCGGAGCUAAUACCGGAUAAUAUAUUGAACCGCAUGGUUCAAUAGUGAAAGACGGUUUUGCUGUCACUUAUAGAUGGAUCCGCGCCGCAUUAGCUAGUUGGUAAGGUAACGGCUUACCAAGGCAACGAUGCGUAGCCGACCUGAGAGGGUGAUCGGCCACACUGGAACUGAGACACGGUCCAGACUCCUACGGGAGGCAGCAGUAGGGAAUCUUCCGCAAUGGGCGAAAGCCUGACGGAGCAACGCCGCGUGAGUGAUGAAGGUCUUCGGAUCGUAAAACUCUGUUAUUAGGGAAGAACAAAUGUGUAGGUAACUAUGCACGUCUUGACGGUACCUAAUCAGAAAGCCACGGCUAACUACGUG